rnacentral:lncRNA from 1 species
CUUUCCACGACCUCGGCGCGACGCACGCGGGAUCCAGUGGAGACUGCUUUCCCAUACGCCGCCAUCCAGGGCGGGGAAGGGAGCGGACCCUCCCGGCUCCAGGUGCCUGGGCCCCCGGCGGCCUGCGGAGGCCUCGCCCCACGCCACCCGCCCACUGGCCUCGUCUUCGCGCGGGGAGAAAAGCAGCCUGAUUCGGAGGAACGGAUUGCUUGGGGCGGCUCCCAGCUCGAGUUGUGGGCCCCGCCGCGGGUGCCCUUCGGAAACGCGCUGACACCAGGCGAAGCCGCCUCUGCCCGGACGCAGCCCGACACUUGGCCCGCGGGGUUCCCUGGGACGCCUGAGAGUAAUGGGCGCGAGGGGAAAAGCCGAACGGCCUCCCUGUACCCGGCGCAGUCGGUGCCCCCUAGCUGGGUUCGCCGCGGCGGCGCUGCGAGCCCCCGACACGGAGGACUUUUGGUCCAACAGUCCGACGGGGCCUGGUGCGCCGUUCCCUCCGCCCUCUCCCCGCUCCCCGGCCCGCGCGUCUUGGAGGGUGGGUGAACUGUCGGAAGCACUCUAUGCCUGGCCAACCCAAACCAGGAACCUCCGCACCAAACAGCCCACGUUGCUGCUGCUCUGGGGUUUUAACGGCCAAGGGAGACUGGAGAAGGGGUGUUCUGCCUUCCCAUUCUCUUAGGCCCGUCCACUCCCCAUCCCCACAGUUUGGAAGUGGCCUUUUCUGAGGACUCCAGCGCAAAGCAUGUUUCUCCUUUUGAGCUGCGGAAGCCUUGCUUGUUCCCGCCAUUGGGAGGGCAUUCCAUCAUCUGCAGCUGCGUUCCUCGGUGGGCCUUGUCCCUUAGCGUCCACCUAGGGGACAUUCUAAGCUUCUUGAGACCUGCUUGUCCACCCCAACAUGUCUCAGCAUAUGGCUGUGCCCUAAGGGGUCUUUGAGGGCAUUUUAGGAGGUGAGCGGCGCCCCUACCUAGGCUCCGCGGGGCCGAUUCGGUUUGCCCUUUGCUGGCAUGUCAGUGAAUUAACUGCUGUCCUUGGGACGACCUGCCCUAUGAUUUGGCCUCUGGAGCAUCCCGGGUGUGUAUUUCAGAACUCCUCCCAUCUUAUCCACCUGCUGAAGGCCUGGCCCCCUGAUAUGGUUUGGCUCUGUUUCCCCACCCAAAUCUCACCUUGAAUUUUAAUAAUCCCCACGUGUCAUGGGCGGGACCAGGCGGAGGUAAUUGAAUCAUGGAGGUGGUUUCCUGAACGCUGCUCUCGUGACAGUGAGUUCACAAGAUCUUUUUUUUUUUUUUUUUUUUUUAACGGAGUAUCACUCUGUCACUUAGGCUGGAGUGCAGUGGCGCGAUCUCGGUUCACUGCAACCUCUGCCUCCCGGGUUCAAGCGAUUCUCCUGCCUCAGCCUCCCAAGUAGCUGGGAUUACAGGUGCGCGCCAUCACGCCCGGCUAAUGUGUAUUUUUAGUAGAGAAAGGGUUUCACCAUGUUGGUUAGGCUGGUCUCGAACUCCUGACGUUGUGAUCUGCCUGCCUCGGCCUCCCAAAGUGCUGGAAUUACACGCGUGAGCCACUGUGCCCAGCCGAUCUGAUGCUUUUAUAAAGGGCUUCCCCCCGUCCCCCUUCCUCUCUCUCACCACCCUGUGAGAAAGGUGCCUUUCUUCCCCCUUCACGUGAACUGCCUCCAUGAUUGUAAGCUUCCUGAGGCCUCCCCAGCUAUAAGGAACUGUGAGCCAAUUAAACUGCUUUAUAAAUUAA